CAGCUUGAGGAAAAAGAUGCAGAAGGCAGUGGAUGUACCACUCUCCCCGUUCAAGAUUCUGAUCGCACGUCUAUCUGGUCUUCCUCCAUCAUAGUUCCUCUAUUUUCCACUCUAUCUCUCCGAAUGCUGUUCUGAUUCAUGUGCGCAUUCAUAAUCGAGUUUCUGAUUCAUAAGUGCAAUUCUCGAUCGAUAGGUUUCUGCAGCUUUAACCGAGAGGGACGAUAGAGUUCUGCAUCCCGAUUCUAGCUUGGAGGAUUGCAUUUCCGAGGCAUGUGAAUCCGGUUCGAAUCAACUGCUUCAGAUAAACUCGUCGUUAUUCAAUGGAAAGAAGUUUAGAUAUAGAGUAUCAACUAGUAUAUUCUUUCUCGAUGAAUGUCAGUGUGGAGGAUUCACAUUACUUAGUGAAGGAGGUAGUUCAAAUGAAGACUCUCAUGUAUGCUUCCACUUUGGUUUAACAGAUUAUAGGUCUUUCUCCAUCUCUGUUAUAUUUAUAUAUUCGAAAAGGCUUAUAGGAUUUGAUGAAUAUUAACAUUUUGAAAAUUGAAAUUAUUUCGUACUUUUAGCAUUUCAUUCUGUACCAUUGUCUUUCAUGUUGAUGUAUGAUGUCCUUCAAGAGGUUUGAUUUCCAAUGAAUGAGUUAUAUCCAUGUGUUUUUCAGAAAAGUAUCCUUGAAGUUAUUAUAAUGGAAGGUAGGGUGUGAUGUCCCGUUAGAAAUUACCAUUGUUAGCGUAUUGGUAGUUUGAACUCAUGACAUAUUUUUCUCUAGAAAAGGAGCACUUCUUUCUUUCUUUCCUUGUUUGAGAACCUAAAUUUAUCUCCACAUUCAAGAAUAUGAUUUUCUUACAGAUAUCGCAGUAGCUUUCUAAAGUAGUUUAGUUCCUUGAGUGAUUGCGGAUCGCGUUAGUUUCAAUAAUUAGAAGUCCAAUUCCAUUAUUAGUGAAUUUAUUUUCAAUUAUAUCAAUCAUAAAAUUUGUAAAUUUAUUUCUAUUGGUGGCUAAUAGAAAAUGGCACGAUAAUAAUCAGAACGUUGUGAUUAUUCGAGCCAUUUUUGUCCACUAUCAUUUUUCCCAUAUUCCUUAGUUCUUGCGAACUACUUAUGCUGCCAUGUAAUAGUUCAACUUAUAACUUUGUUCAUGCUAGAAACUAAAUGAAAGAGAAUCCAUAUUCUCUGGAAGUUAAGUCACAAACCCAUUGAAAUUGUAUGGUUUAUUUGCAAGUAUUUUGCUUUCCAAAUUGUUUUCCUGCAGACCACUCAAUCUGUUGUCAACAUUCCUCAAGUCCUCUGGUUAACAGUGCCAUGGCGGAGACUUCAGAUGGGAAAGGAGUAACAAUGUCGAUGAAUUUCCGGGAGGCCAUCUAGAGCUAUGCCCUACCCCCAAGAGCUUGGAAUGGCAUACCAUGAUGACGUGAAAGGUUUUGCAGAUUCCAAUACCAUUAACAGAAGGCUUUCGUGGAAGAUGUUUGACAGAAUUAUCCGAGAAGUUGUUGAACAUAUUGGAGUACAAACAGAAUCCCUUAACAGCCAAGUCUCGAAGAUAAUUAAAUGUCAGACCAGCUAUUUUCUUCUUCAUAAAGAGUAUUCUGGAUUCUGUUAAAUUCAGGAACUGUAUACCAGUGCGCAAGAUGGCUACGAGUCUGCUCAACUUUAUACAGUUCCAUUGAGUUUACAUAAGUAAAAGACUCCCAUGCCCUUCUAAACCUUCUAUUCUUGCCCGUAUGGAUGACCCAAUAUGGCCACCCAGAGUUUCACAUUGUUUUCAAGGUGGAAGUUUGGAAACAGCUUGGACUCCCAAGAAGUUUCUUCUCAUUAUAUUUCUUCCAACUGAAUAAAGACAUCCAGUUCCCCUUUGGAAUUUUUGUUGGACGAACAUUCAACAUUUUUUUUGGUUAUUGUUGAAUCCAAAAUUUGAAUCAAGCCGAAGGGAAAUGGUGUUGGGCUCUAGUUGAUGCCCUUCGUGAGUUACACCUGUGAAACAUGGAAAGCAGACUGGUUCCCUAUUGUAGAGGGUAGGGCUAUCUUUCCAAUCGUUUCAAUACUAGAAAAGGACCACACUAUCUUUUGGUGCCUGCUUUGCCGAUCACCUAGUUGAUACGCUCUUUUGUCUGUAUGGUUAUAGUUUAAAGAAAGGCCAGGUUCCCUAGCUAAAAAUACACUUCCCUUUGAUGUUUGCCUAAUGGAACUUCAUUACUUGUUGAACUCAAGUUAAUUGUACUCGAAAACACUUCAAAUUAGCUUCAUGGAUGUUCUUUGGGACAAUAAAAGGUUUAAUACUUCCUUAUGGGCAGUGGCCUCUAAAGACUUUUGUAAUUAUCUUAUUCUUUUGGAACGGAAACCUUUUUUAAAGUUUGGGGCUCCUUUCUUCUGGAUUGUUUUUUAUAUGGCCUUGUAUAUCCUUUCAUUUUUGUAAGAAUAAAAGUUUGGUUUCUAUUAAAGAAAAAGGCUUCACAUUCGGGCAAUAAUUGAUCAAUAGACGGUAUAAGUUAAGACUGACAAAUGAUAU